rnacentral:rRNA from 1 species
GUGGGGAAUUUUGGACAAUGGGCGCAAGCCUGAUCCAGCAAUGCCGCGUGCAGGAAGAAGGCCUUCGGGUUGUAAACUGCUUUUGUACGGAACGAAACGGCUCUGGUUAAUACCUGGGGCUAAUGACGGUACCGUAAGAAUAAGCACCGGCUAACUACGUGCCAGCAGCCGCGGUAAUACGUAGGGUGCAAGCGUUAAUCGGAAUUACUGGGCGUAAAGCGUGCGCAGGCGGUUUUGUAAGACAGGCGUGAAAUCCCCGGGCUCAACCUGGGAAUGGCGCUUGUGACUGCAAAGCUGGAGUGCGGCAGAGGGGGAUGGAAUUCCGCGUGUAGCAGUGAAAUGCGUAGAUAUGCGGAGGAACACCGAUGGCGAAGGCAAUCCCCUGGGCCUGCACUGACGCUCAUGCACGAAAGCGUGGGGAGCAAACAGGAUUAGAAACCCUAGUAGUCC